AGAGUUUGAUCCUGGCUCAGGAUGAACGCUGGCGGCGUGCCUAACACAUGCAAGUCGAACGAAGCUGCAAGGAACGGAGAUUCGUCGAAGUACUUUGCAGACUUAGUGGCGGACGGGUGAGUAACGCGUGAGCAACCUGCCUUUCAGAGGGGGACAACAGUUGGAAACGACUGCUAAUACCGCAUAACAUAUCCGAGCGGCAUCGCUUGGAUAUCAAAGGAGCAAUCCGCUGAAAGAUGGGCUCACGUCUGAUUAGUUAGUUGGUGAGGUAACGGCUCACCAAGACUGCGAUCAGUAGCCGGACUGAGAGGUUGACCGGCCACAUUGGGACUGAGAUACGGCCCAGACUCCUACGGGAGGCAGCAGUGGGGAAUAUUGGGCAAUGGGCGAAAGCCUGACCCAGCAACGCCGCGUGAAGGAAGAAGGUCUUCGGAUUGUAAACUUCUUUUAUAAGGGACGAAGAAAGUGACGGUACCUU
rnacentral:rRNA from 1 species